AGUGAACGCUGGCGGUAGGCCUAACACAUGCAAGUCGAACGGCAGCACAGUAAGAGCUUGCUCUUACGGGUGGCGAGUGGCGGACGGGUGAGGAAUACAUCGGAAUCUACUUUUUCGUGGGGGAUAACGUAGGGAAACUUACGCUAAUACCGCAUACGACCUCCGGGUGAAAGCAGGGGAUCUUCGGACCUUGCGCGAUUGAAUGAGCCGAUGUCGGAUUAGCUAGUUGGCGGGGUAAAGGCCCACCAAGGCGACGAUCCGUAGCUGGUCUGAGAGGAUGAUCAGCCACACUGGAACUGAGCCACGGUCCAGACUCCUACGGGAGGCAGCAGUGGGGAAUAUUGGACAAUGGGCGCAAGCCUGAUCCAGCCAUACCGCGUGGGUGAAGAAGGCCUUCGGGUUGUAAAGCCCUUUUGUUGGGAAAGAAAAGCAGCAGGUUAAUACCCCGCUGUUCUGACGGUACCCAAAGAAUAAGCACCGGCUAACUUCGU
rnacentral:rRNA from 1 species